AUUUUAUUGGACGAGAACAAAACACACUCCGCCAUCUUGAAUCAUCGAUGCUGCUAGCGGCUGAACAAAAUGAGAACUUGUGCAUUAAACUAUUCUCAAAGAGACAGAACGAGAGGAGCUACUUUGUUGCGGCUGUUUCUACCUCAGCUGUCUACCGUGACCUGAUUGUACUUCUGAAAUGACUCGUCAACACACUAAAUCCGGACUCGGUGGAACUGAAAGAAGAUCUGGCGCCAUUUUAACAGAACCUCGGCGUUCCUUCGGGUAUAUCAUUAAGAACCUAACUUCUAGCAGAGAUUGCUGGUACUUCCCACUUCUCUUCUUCAUAUGUUACUGCUGUGUAGGUGCUAUGUUUAUCAAUGGAUUCAAACUCUACUUUCUUCAUUAAUAGUCCUCAAGCAAGAAUACCUUCGAAGAACUGCAUGAAUAUUUUAAACUUUGAGAUUAUUGAAACUUAGAUAUGCUGAUGGAAAUAUUUAUAAAUGUACAAAAAUUAAGUACCAAACUUCUUUGAAAAUAGAAUUAAAGUUUUACAGAGAACAUAAAUGAAAAAGUGUAAAAAUGAAUUUGAUUCAUUUGUUGGUUUCUUAAUGAAACCUAUGUUAACUGAACUCUGUAUGUCAAUUAAAUUUUUGAUAGAACUUUUCCUAUUAAUGUCAAUGAAAGAACGAUUGUUGAAAUUAUGUUUAUCCGAAUGAUGUUGUUUCUACGUAGGAUAAUAAAAGCUAUAAAAUUA